ACGAUGUCCUAGAUGGGAUGCUCAGUUCCAGUUCUGCCAAGGCCUGGCCCAACCGCGUGUCAUGGCCUUGAACUCCCAGGACAUCCUGUCGUCCUAACACUGCGGUGACAAUAAAUUCCACCCCCUAACUUGAAGGCCCUGGGAGAACCUCUGCCACUUGGAGGAAAAAAAAUAUCCCCCAGAAAACCAUGUUACUGAGUCAGCCUAUGCCAAGCAGGUUUUUAACAUUCAGAAUGAGACAAGGUCAAGAUCAGAUUCCUGGGACCCGGCCACACCUGGGGGUGGGUGUUCACCGGGCAAACCUCUCUCCCCUCUAUAGUCUUUGCCCCCAGUCUCCUACCAGCAUCCCACAGCUGAGUUAAUUAACUACCAGGUGAAUCUCAACUCUAUUCAAAGUCCUUCAAGAGUUACCAGGUGCCCACUGCGUGCAGGGCGCUGUGUGUGGCGGUGGAGGAUGUGUGCAUGAGGGAGAUAAGAUGCCCACCUCCCAGGAGUCCCUGGGGCUGUUAGUGAUCACGACGCAUGAUCUCUGCAGUUCUCUGAUCUGCCACUCGAAAAACAGACUUAAAUAAGAACCUGGCAGCGCACAGUGGAAAGGGGACGGCAGUCACGUGACAGUGGAACGACCUGGCAAGUGCUCCCUCCGCCAAACGAUCAAGGUCAACGUCAACAGGGGAGAAAAGCAGCAGGCACAUUCUGACAGAAGAGCAUCCCGCAAUAUACCUGACAUUUUCCUCAAGGCUGCCAAGGUCAUGAAGAACAAGGAGAGUCUGAGAAACUGUCAUAGCCAAGAGGAGCCUAGGAGACGUGGCAGCUACAUGCAGGGUGGGAGCCCCAAACAGAAAAUGAGCUAUAGGCGAAAACGGAAGAACACUGAACCACCCAGGGACUUUAUAACAAUGAAGUUAAUAAAAAGGGAUCAAUGUGGGUUCAUCGUGUCUAACAAAUGCACCACACUAAUGUUAGAUAUUCAUAAUCAGGGAAGCUGGGAACUGGACAUAUAGAAACUCUCUGUACUGUCUGCUCACUAUUUCUAUAAAUCUAAAACUGUUCUAAAAAUAAAGUCUAUUAAAAAAAACUCCCUGCAGCAA